UACAGGGGGUGCAAACGUUUGCUCGGAAUCAUUGGGCGUAAAGCGCACGUAGGCGGUUCGUUAUGUCGGAUGUGAAAGCCCUUGGCUUAACCGAGGAAGUGCAUCCGAAACUGGCGAGCUAGAGUACUAAAGAGGAUCGCGGAAUUCCCGGUGUAGAGGUGAAAUUCGUAGAUAUCGGGAGGAACACCGGUGGCGAAGGCGGCGAUCUGGGUAGAUACUGACGCUGAGGUGCGAAAGCGUGGGGAGCAAACAGGG
rnacentral:rRNA from 1 species